rnacentral:rRNA from 1 species
UACGUAGGGGGCAAGCGUUGUCCGGAUUCAUUGGGCGUAAAGAGCGUGUAGGCGGCCAGGUAGGUCGGUUGUGAAAACUGGAGGCUCAACCCGUUCAGAGGUCGGACCGAAACCAUCUGGCUAGAGUCCGGGAGAGGAGAGUGGAAUUCCUGGUGGUAGCGGUGAAAUGCGCAGAUAUACAGGAAGAACACCCGUGGCGAAAGCGGCUCUCUGGAACCGGUACUGACGCUGAGACGCGAAAGCGUGGGGAGCGAACAGG